rnacentral:tRNA from 633 species
GGGGCUGUAGCUCAGCUGGGAGAGCACCUGCUUUGCAAGCAGGGGGUCAGCGGUUCGAUCCCGCUCAGCUCCACCA